rnacentral:rRNA from 1 species
AGUGAACGUUGGCGGUAGGCCUGACACAUGCAAGUCGAACGGCAGCACAGUAAGAGCUUGCUCUUACGGGUGGCGAGUGGCGGACGGGUGAGGAAUACAUCGGAAUCUACUUUUUCGUGGGGGAUAACGUAGGGAAACUUACGCUAAUACCGCAUACGACCUACGGGUGAAAGCAGGGGAUCUUCGGACCUUGCGCGAUUGAAUGAGCCGAUGUCGGAUUAGCUAGUUGGCGGGGUAAAGGCCCACCAAGGCGACGAUCCGUAGCUGGUCUGAGAGGAUGAUCAGCCACACUGGAACUGAGACACGGUCCAGACUCCUACGGGAGGCAGCAGUGGGGAAUAUUGGACAAUGGGCGCAAGCCUGAUCCAGCCAUACCGCGUGGGUGAAGAAGGCCUUCGGGUUGUAAAGCCCUUUUGUUGGGAAAGAAAAGCAGCAGGUUAAUACCCCGCUGUUCUGACGGUACCCAAAGAAUAAGCACCGGCUAACUUCGUG